rnacentral:rRNA from 1 species
GUAAGGAAUAUUGGUCAAUGGGCGGAAGCCUGAACCAGCCAUGCCGCGUGCAGGACGACGGCCCUACGGGUUGUAAACUGCUUUUGCCCGGGAAUAACCCCCCGCUCUUGAGCGGGGCUGAACGUACCGGGAGAAUAAGCACCGGCUAACUCCGUGCCAGCAGCCGCGGUAAUACGGAGGGUGCGAGCGUUGUCCGGAUUUAUUGGGGUUAAAGGGUGCGUAGGCUGGAAGGUCAGUCAGCGGUGAAAAGCUGUCGCUUAACGAUAGUCUUGCCGCAGAUACUUCCUUUCUUGGAUGAGGAGGAGGCCACUGGAACGGAUGGUGUAGCGGUGAAAUGCAUAGAUAUCAUCCAGAACACCGAUUGCGAAGGCAGGUGGCUGUACCUUAAUCGACGCUGAUGCACGAAAGCAUGGGGAGCAAACAGGAUUAGAAACCCCAGUAGUCC